rnacentral:misc_RNA from 1 species
CGAGAAGGAAAGAAAUAGAGAAGUCGUCUAUCUUUCUCUCUCUCCGCCGGGACAGAGAAGAAAAAGGAAAACACGAAAACGAAAGAGGAAGACAUCGCACUCAAAGUAGAGUAGCGGCCCUCUCCCUCCCCUCUCCUUCCACGACACACUCAUCACGGGGGAGGUGAGCCGAAGCCAAGGAUCUUCUUGAUCCUUUUGUGCUCUUUAUUUUGGUGUGCUGCUACGGGAGGUUGUACCGCCCCUUUUGCUUUUUGUUGUGAAGUGGAGAGGAAGACGUCGACUUGUGCCCCUCCCCCUCCCCCUGUCCUACGCUUUCCCAUUGAGGCACAUCUACCUUGCUCUUCGAUCGCCGCGUGACGAACUUGCGUGCGCAGGGGGGGGUUCAAAGGAGAAAGGGAAGCGAAAGUCAACAACCGCAAAAAGGGGAGGGGGCGAUCGCCUGGGAUCAUCAGAGGUUGUUCUCCUUCCCCUCCUUCCUCCACAAAGCCGGUUUGAUCGCUGAGACUCUUGCUUCCUCUCUCUUUGGUUUUUGUGCCUGUGCCUGUGUCUCUUAGGUGGGCGACGGUUGCGUAGGGCGCCCAACUCAGGAUCUUAAACACGUACAGAAUACAGGAGACACUCCACGACAGGUAAGACACGCCCGCUUUUCACUCAUCGUGUGCGUGUGUGUUUGUCUGGCUCUCCCCCUCUCCCUCUCCGUGCGUGUUUUCUUUCCGUUAAACUCCCUUUGGUUCUCUUGUUUCAACUCUGCGCUCUCACUUGCUUGUCGAUCGACUCACCCACCCCCUCCCCCUCCAACGUUGACACAGAGACACGCGGGGGUGGGCUCUCCCCUCCCCUCCCUCUUCUCCACUCUCACAGCCCUCCGCCACACCCCAUUUCCUUCCUCAUCUUACGUCUUCUAUAAUCACUGCCACACCCGAUCUCUCUGGUUCUCUCUCGGCGCGUGUGUGCGCGUGUGUGCUUGGGUCUUCUUAUUUUAUAGUUUCGCCCUUUUUGCGUUCGCUUUGAAGCGCCCCGGUGCCGUUGUUUCUGAUCUGCUGCUGCUUCGUUUCUCCCUCGUCCUCUCCCCGCUCUCCGUGACCUCAUGUAUGAACUCUGCGCCUGGCUGUGUGCGCGUGCUUAACUGCUUCUCUCGGUUGCAUUCGUGCGUGAUUUCCCGCCUAUUUUUCUUACUUUUGGGCACACCUGUGAAACGAAGAGAGAGAGACGACUUUCUGUCCCCCCACCCACCACCACCACCACCAACCGCCCACGCUCUCUCCCGCCCAGCGAAGACAAGCCCCUCUCCGUUCGCCUUUCCUUCGGGCCUCUGUCCCUCUCUGAGGGAGUCUCCUACGAGGCGUUCGCCGCUUCUUCACAUACGCACCGUAACGCUCACUCACCCGUCCCCCUCCCCACACACAUACGCGCUCGCUGCUCCCUGUUACACAGCAUAUCUGACCAUCCCUCACGGCUUCUCGCUUCCAACAAACACGUGCAAACACAGCUAUACUUGUGGUUUACUCUUCUCCCACGUUGUUCUCUUUUUUUUUCUUCGUUUCUGCUGUUGUGCUCUUACCAUAAUCACGUGUGCGUGUGUCUGUGUCGCGGGGUGCGUGGUGCAACUCUGCGCGGCUCGCUGGUGCUCGUCUUGAUUUCGGAACGAAAAGGGACCUUGCUCUUUAUUUCCUGUGCAGGUGGUGCGCAGCCGAAUCUUCGUGUUUGUCGCUUUUCGCUUCCUCUAAACAUCGAGCUUGCGGGUCCAGCGUUCGACCACCGACAAGUACGCAUUACACUGUCUGCAACGCCCCCUUCCCUCCCACCUCUUCUUUUUUUUUUAGCUGUCUUCUUCGCUCUCCGCCGUCGAUCUAGGCAAGUCACACAACCUUGCACAGCACCCACGAAAGGCAGGACGAGGCGAUUCAGGUACAAACCAGAGCUAGGAGAGCCAAGAAAAUAAGAGCAACUAGAAAAAAAACAAGGAAAACGACAACAACACGGCCACUCACGCACCCACACCGUGUUCGCAGGUAUAUACACUUCGUUUAGCGACGGAAAAAGAGAAACACAUCUGCCUGAAAGAGGGAAGGCUCGUGCGGUGAGCGAGGUUCAGAGAGAAGGGGAGCAACAGCGAAACAGAGGAGGCGUAGUUCUGCAUCCUUUCUCGAGAGGAAAGGAGAUCAAAUCUCUUUUCCUUCUCGUUUUGUGUUGCCCUCAAGUUCCGAGUGCGUGCGCCUGCGCUCUCUCUUUGUUUUGCCCCCACUCCCUCCUUUCUUUCUUCACCCGACGUGGAGGGAGAGGUUUGGCAGAAGUGCGUGAGCGAUUCAAGUACGAGUCCACGUGAGCGCGUGUCUCCCUCUCUCUCGGUGUAUGCGCGUGUGUGCGCGCAUUCUCGUGCUCUACGCUCUUUUUUUUUAUGCCUCCAAUCGUGAGAGAAGUCUCCAGGCUCUGUCUUGCUUGCGGGGACCGUGCGUGCGCGUGUUCGCCUCAGCUCCUCCAUCUCCUUAUGUGAUUCAACCAUUGACUGUUCUUUUGUUCUUUUUCGUGAUUUUUUUUCUUCGCGUGCCCCGGAUUAUCAUUACUUGUCCUUAUCUAUACCUUUACUUCCUCCCCUACUCCCCGCUGUGUUUUCGUGUUUCUCUGCGUGCCCUCCUCGUCUUCCUCAUUGGUGUUGUAUUCAUCAUACCGUCUGCCGCACCUCACUUUUUCCCCCCAUCUUCCCCCGCACAAGACAACAACAAACGAAAGACACACCCGCACACACACACACACACAAACACACACACAAACACAUCAACGACGGAAAAAAAAUAGCAACACCAAAGCGUGCGCACCUCGCUCUUCUCCCCCUCCCUUCUCUCUCCCUGGCCUACUUACCUCGCUCUCCAUCGCCGUCUUUCUUCUUUUUGUUUGUUUGCUCGCCUUCAUCGGCACACACACACACACACAUACACUCCGUCUCUCCAUCACAUUUUUUUUGUGUUUUUGCUUGCUCUCUUUUCUUUCGCUUUUUUGCCAUUUUGUUCACUACGUGUGUGUGUGUGUGUGCUGAGUGUGUAUGUGUAUGUGUGCGUGUGCGUGUGCGUGUGCGCGCGCGUAGCUCCGUGAUUGGCCGUUGCUUUUACGCUGUUUCUUUCGCGGUUGUGGUUGCCGCCUCUUUUUUUUUACGUCUUUUCGCUUUGUUUGCCAAGUCGCUCCCCCCCCCUUCUUUCUCUCGGCUGCCUUUGCUGGCCUUUGAGUCCGAGUCACUUCUAUGUACCUCUCUGCGUGAGUGUAUAUGUGACCUUCUAUAUUUUGCUGUUCGGUAGCGCUCACUGUUACACACGCCCUCUUGUUUUCUUUUCGUUCUUCUGCAUAGUUACACGUCUCCUGCUGUUCUCCCUUUCUGCGCCUGUGCCGUUCGCUCUCCCCCCCCCUCCUCCCUCCUCCACGACUGCCUGUGACUGGCGCAUCUUUUUUUUUAAUUUUUAUUAUUUUUCGUUUUCUCUUUUACGUUGUCACUUCCUCGCGUUUUUUGUUUGCUUUGCUGUAUUUUUUUUUUCUUUUUCCAUCUUUCCUCGACCUGUUUGUGUGUUGUGUGUGGGCCUCUCCACAUUUUCUCCCGUCCCACUCUUCGCUUCCCAAACGAGGAAAAAAAACGAAAACGGGAAACGAAGCAGCCAUCACUUCUGCGUUGCUGUGGCCUUGGACAAUACACGUACACCCAGACACCCAGACACACACACACACGCAGAUAUAUAUAUAUAUGCAUAGAUAAGGAGAUAACACACAUAUAAAAGAACGUUGUACCGGUGGUGGCAGCGCCUUGAUCUCGUACCGCUGCUCUUUUUCUUUUUGUGUUGUUCUUCCUGUUCUUGUAAUCCUCCCCUUCCCUCCUCUCUCACUCUCCGUUUCUCGUUGUGCUUUAGUCUUUGUGCGUAUACUGGCGACCGCACGCGCGUUUGUCAGUCUUGUGCGCUCCUUCACGCGGAGCACACAUACUGCAGGCCCACACCGCUGCUGUGCAGCAACGGAGGGCUGUUUCUAGAGGUUUAGUGGUCGUCACUAAUCUGCAACAAGAAGGGAUGCCUGCCUUGUCCUCUGGCGCCGUGGAGAAGAGGAAGUCGCCGUUGCCGGUCGAUUGUGUGCAACUGGCCAAGGAUUCAGUAAGGCACUCGGGAUCGCGGAGGGGUAGUGCCGCGUCAUGGCUGCACCCGCUGUCGUCCACCGAGGUACCCGUCUCGGACCUUUCACACAAUCCGCUCUUUUCCCGACAUGGAGUUCAGCUGACCAACAGCGACGACAUUGUUGUCGGUGGUGGCGGCGCCGGAUCCUCGAGCCUGCUCUCCGCAACGGAGAUCUCGCCCAUGCAAAUACGUGAAGCCAGCGGCUGUAAGUCGCGACUCGACGGCUCCAGCAUCACCUCCAGCGGCAAGCGAGAAGCCCGCAGCUGCCGCGGCUACUCACGGUUGACAGGGCUGCUAACCCGCCGAGGAGGUGACGGGAAAUCACGCAAAAACGUCGCCGUCAGCAGCACCUCCCAUUCAACGACGACAUGCUCGGGAGGUGCACCGCAGGGCACCGUAAUAGCCUCUCCCAGUGACGCAGCGGCGCGCAAUCCUCUUCAGCCCUCCGGCAACACCAGCGGCGAGGCGGACCUUAGCGAGGACAUGCGCCUGGAUGACGGUGGGUGCGACUGGCCGUCCACGCCGUCGCCGAAGACCGCCUCCGUGUCACACAGGCGCGGGAGUAACAGCCCCAGCGGUGCCGUCAGUGUCGUACCAUGGACGAGUGCCGUGAACAGCACCAUUCAGAGUCGCAGUCGGCGUGAACUUUGUGCCUCCCCGCUGGCUUCGCAGUCGUCCCGCGCCUCGCCGCACGCGACGCUGCGGCUUGACGGCGGCAGCGCUACGAACGGUGCGGGUCUCGACUCGAGCGGAGCGCAGUUCGUGCCUCUCGGGUCCUCAGAUCUGGCGAAUCGAAACGGCAGUCCGAACCGGCUGCAGCGAUCUUACUGCAGCGGCGCUGAUGACGACAAGACGACUACAUCGUCCACUCUGCGGAAUCGGUCUCACCGGCAGAAACUGAUCAGCGCCAGCUCUCUCUCCACGUCAGCAAGUCAGAGCCUUCUCCAGCUUGGGAGCACACGCGCUUCCCAGGGACAGACGCCACGAAAUACGGGUGACCCUGAUGCCUCCGUGCAUGUUUCAAAGAACGCGCGAAGCCUGCGAGACGCCAAGGUAGCGCUGCUGCGGCGCACGCAGCACGGGAACGUCCAUUCCCUGCGCAGCUCUCGCACACACAGCUUUCGACGCAGUCAAAGCAACGCCAGCACCGGCGGCGGUGACCCGUUGUCGCAGUGCGCCACUAAGAUACGUCCCAGCAGCCGAGAAAAGCGAUCCACGAACAGCACUGCGGGUGCCUUCGCCGGUGGCGGCCGUGUCGGGUCAGCGCAUUCCAUCGCGGCGGUUGACGACGACGUGGUGCGCAUCAGUGUGCCGCCAGCCGAUUUGAACUCUCCGCUGAGACACUGGGACAUGGAGUUUCCCUUGGCUGCGGCGGUGCCUGACAUGGGUAGCGGCAAGUCAGAGCACAAUAUCAGUGCCAGCGGGGCGCAGCGUCGAUUCAGCCGCCCCGAGGACAACCCCCUGCUCGAGGUGAUGGAGACGUCGAGCUGCGCUUCACAGGGCUGGUGCGAGGCUGGCAACGGCGCACCCUGGUGCCCCUCCACGGCGGAGCAGGCAACACGUAGUCGCAUCGCGGCCGCUGCCAGUUCGUUGAGCAAGUCUAUGGAUCGCCGAACUACUGCUUUGAGUCGUGGCGGGAGCCCCUUCCAGAGGUCCUCCAGCACCCGCCGCGGCACCUUCUACCCGCCUCGCAUGCCGAGCGGCUUCUACUCACUCAGUCCGAACGGCGGCUACAGCAGCAGCACCGACAGCGAGGAGGAAAUCCGGCUGCGAGAGCGGCACCGCAAUCGCGUGGACGAGGUGCUGCGCCAGCUGAACGCGCCGAUGAGGUCGACGACCGUUGAUGAUAGAUUGGCGGCGACGAGUAUGCGCAACAACUCCUCCUACCCCUCUGCGAGGGACGCGUCCGUCGGCGCCGACGCAUCGCAGGUAGACAAUAACAACUCAAGCGCGUGGGCCGGCAUUGGCGGCCUCGACUGGGGCGGCGGGCUCGUGGCGUUUUGUGCUUCUGCCACCGGCGGUGCCAACGCAAACAUGAGCACGACCGUGAACGCCAACGGCGGUGGCGGCGGGGACGGUGGUGGGUGGCUCGGUGUGGGAGGUACGGCCACCACGGAGGACUGGUACACGCGCAUGCGCAAAAAGUUGGAGGAGGAGAAGGCUGAGGCGGCGGCCGCCGCUGUAAUGGCCAGCGAUGCUAACUUCACCUCUGCAGCUCCUCCAAGUGAAUCGGCGCCUACGGACACUCCCGCGGCGACCAGCCGGAUCCAUAACAAGGAUUCCACGCAGUCAGAGAUGCACAUGCCCGCCAUCGAUCGCAACACGACGUGCAAAGGGCCUCUGCCCCUCCUUCGCUCCACCCGAAGCUCCCGCGCCCCCUCCGCGGCCCCUUCACAUAGCAGCUUGCCGCCCGGAGCGCCGCAAGCGGCGCCGCCAAUGUUGAACCAGACAUUCAAGCCAAAAACUAGCCCAGCUGUGUCCUCGGCUGGUGAGCGCGUUGUGCGGCGCCUGCAACCAGGUAUCCCCACGCGGAUGCAGCUGAGCCACACAUGCGCUGCGCUAGGCAGCGCCGAUGGCGGGGCAGCUACCGCACACCCUCGCCCGCCGGGGGCAAGCGGCGCGGAAGAGGAUUCUGCGGCAGCGAGGUCGCCUUCUAAACGUCUGUCGCUCAAAACAACCGCUGUGACGGUGCCUGCCAGCGCGGUCCAAACUGCAGACAGCCCCAGAGCAGCACCGUUGCCCGAGCUGGAGGUCAUUGAGCCGCGCCACCGCCUCAGCGCCCUCGAUCCAGAUGAUGGCAGCGUCAGCAGCAUGGGCGGCACAUCGACCGUGGCACCGCUGAUGUCGUCUGCAUCGAGGCAGCCGUCUGAAAGCCUCAUCCCGAUGCCGAGCAGGAACGCCAGCAUGGUCGACCCAAGCCACUCCCAGUCCGACCUGCGGCGUCAUGGCUCGCUUCCACGGAUAGUGCCAAGAGUGAGCAUGACUGUGCUGAAGCCGUCGCCGCCAAGGCAACACCCACACAGUACCAUCGCCACCUCAGCGCCGUCACGGGUGCACAAUGGCGUGCGACUCACGCUUGUGCCGUCCAGCGUUAUCGCACAGUCUUCGGGGGGCACCUCCGCGACGCUCACGAGAGAAGGGUCGGUCUCCGGCGUUGGUGCUACGACGCGCGACUCUGCAUGCACCGGGGCUGACGGGAACGGUGGGCUGCGCUGCAACCCUUCAGCGCCGGCCCCUAGGCAGGGUACUACCGCGAGAAAACAGCCAACGGCAGGUGCGCGCUCAACCGAAAAUCCCGCGAGCUCGUCGGGUGCGCCGGCCGCCAUUCUUGCGUCGGCACAUCUCACCGAUUCGUGACGGCGAACUUAAUGACAGUUAUGCACGUAUAUCGCGAGUGCUGCUUUUGUGAGCGUCUCCUCUCCACAUCUGUGUGUGUGUGGGGGGGAGGGGGUGGCGCCGCGGUGUGACUGCUGCUCGCUCUUCUCUUCGGUCAUGCCUCCCUACCUUUCUGCACAUAGCUUCUGCCCCCCUCCCCCCCCAUAAAAAAAAGGCGCGCGCUGUUUCUCUGAGUUGCAUGUGACUUGACUUGCAAAGACACUGCUUUUGCUGCCGAUGCUCCCCUCUCCUCUUAUUGUUAACCUGCUUGUUGGUGUGUUUGCUUGAUUGUUGAUGUCUCUCCGUGUCUUCGUCUUCCCUCCCUACCCUCUCGCUAUCCGUGUCGGUGGACACGGCGCCUGUGCUUCUGUUGUCCCUUUCCUGUUUCAUUCGGGUGCUUUCUCCUUCUCUCCUUUGCCCACGCAGAGCGAGCGAGGUAGAGCGACGCCAGCGCCCUCCCCUCACCCCUCCCCCACGCGCAGCGUUUCUACGGCUUCGCUUUUCUUCUUUUCUGCGAGCCAAACACACACACACACACACACACACAAUACCGAUGGAACGGCGACUGUGUCGCACAUUGGGUCAUAAUGAGGUUGCGUCUUUCCCUCCUCUACGGGAAGCAACUGGGCAGCGGGGUGUGUAUGUGUAGGCAGAAAAUGAGGGAGGCGAAGGCGCAUGCCUGCACGUGUUUGCCUGCGUUGAAGGUAACGGUGCUGUACGUCGGUGUUUAUCGAUAUCUGUCUCCCCGUCGUCCCUGCGCGUGCGCGUAUGUAUGGGAAUGACAGGAGAAGGCGAUGUGGAGAGUGUGCGCGAGGGGGCCCAUUGGUGCCCUCUCGCUUUCCAACCGUCUCUCCAUCCCUUUUUGUUUUGUUUCUGCCAUUCAUGACGUCCACUUCCGUCUUUUUGGCAACACAGUCGACUGCUACCCCUCUCCCUCUCCCUUCCCCCGACAAGGGUGUUGUCCUCUGCGUGCAUGUGUGUGAGAAGUUGACUUUCUUUUUCCUGGCAGAGGGGAGUGGACACACCCCCACCCACCCUCACCCACGCUUGCAAAGAGCGGCUUUGACGGCAACGCGAGGGAGUAACACGGACGGUACAAAAAAAAAUAGGCAGAGGUGCAACAGACAUAAAAUGGUCGCUGCCGGUGCAAACACGGCAGAGGCGGACGUCGGCCGGACGUCUACGCCCCAUUAGACACGUGCGAACACCCAUGAACCUGCGCACCGCAGAGGAGGAAAAGGGAAGGGCGUGAGGCCCAGCGAGGACGCGACUCAGCUUCUGCGCGGCACAAUGGACUUCUCGGAGUCCAAAAGAUUGGAGGGCUGCGUGGCAAGAAGCUUCCCUGUGUUCCUCGAGCUUGAUCGGUUGGCCUUGCGUUUUGCAUGCUUCUCUCCCUCCUCGUUCUCUUACUCUCCUCUGUGCAUGUGUCUGUGUGUGUGUGUGUGUCAUGUAGCAUGUAGUGC